GACCCCAGUGAGUAGGAGGGUACGGUGGUGCGCGUCGAAGUGUUUGGCGCAAGCCGGCAUGGAGCCGCCACUGGCACAGAUCUUGGUGGUAGUAGCAAAUAUUCGAACGAGCUCUUGGAUGACUGAAGUGGAGAAGGGUUUCGUGUCAACAGCAGUUGAACACGAGUUAGCCAAUCCUAAGCCGCAUGGGAAUCCAGUCGUAACCCAUCAGUCGGCGAAAGGGAAUCCGGUUACCAUUCCGGAGCCUGUUGAGUACCCGUUUGCGCCAGCCUAGUAGGGUUUAGCUCGUCCGCACCCGAACGGUUAGUGUGUAGCUUCAUGGCAACAUGAAUCCUUUUCUUCGAGAAGCCAACGAGAGGCAUCGGAAGAGUUUUCUUUUCUGUUUUACAGCCACACCGACCAUGGAAGUCACUCACAGAGAGAUAUGGUUGGACCGGUCUGGUAGAGCACGGCCGCCGCAACUGCCGUGUCGAUGCACUCUUCUUGGACCGUGAAAAUCGAAGACUGGGGCACACUUUAUAUGGUAAUAACGCACACUCUCAACAGAUUGUACCGAAUCCGCAGCAGGUCUCCAAGGUGCAGAGUCUCUAGUCGAUAGAUCAAUGUAGGUAAGGGAAGUCGGCAAACUGGAUCCGUAACUUCGGGACAAGGAUUGGCUCUGAAGGCUGGGUGCGACCAGCCGGGACCGGUGCUCCACCUGCCGCAAGGUAGGCUGGCCCGUGCCCGCGGUCGCACAGCAAACAGCCAAUUCAGAACUGGCACGGCUGAGGGAAUCCGACUGUCUAAUUAAAACAAAGCAUUGUGAUGGCCCCGGGUGGGUGUUGACACAAUGUGAUUUCUGCCCAGUGCUCUGAAUGUCAACGUGAAGAAAUUCAAGCAAGCGCGGGUAAACGGCGGGAGUAACUAUGACUCUCUUAAGGUAGCCAAAUGCCGCUCAGUCUUCAUCCAGCCUUCGAGACGGCGUUACGCUGCCCAAAUACCCAGCGCUCAGUGUUAGUGAAGAAUUUUGUGUGUGUGUGAAAGUGUCAGUAUUCUUUUAACCGUUGACGAGGAAGGUCGUGCUUCUGCUAGUCUCAGUUUCUAGAGUGCUUGAUACAGUGUGUGUGUGUGU
rnacentral:ncRNA from 1 species